UACGUAGGGGGCAAGCGUUGUCCGGAAUCAUUGGGCGUAAAGCGCGUGUAGGCGGCUCGGUAAGUCCGCUCUGAAAGUCCAGGGCUCAACCCUGGGAUGCGGGUGGAUACUGCCGGGCUCGAGUCCGGAAGAGGCGAGUGGAAUUCCCGGUGUAGCGGUGAAAUGCGCAGAUAUCGGGAGGAACACCAAUGGCGAAAGCAGGUACCUGGACUAUUACUGACACUCAGCUGCGAAAGCUAGGGGAGCAAACAGG
rnacentral:rRNA from 1 species